rnacentral:tRNA from 1 species
GCAUCAGUGGUUCAGUGGUAGAAUUCAUGCUUGCCAUGCAUGAGACCCGCGUUCGAUUCGCGGCUGAUGCA